UACGAAGGGGGCGAGCGUUGUUCGGAAUUACUGGGCGUAAAGGGCGCGUAGGCGGCCCUCUUUGUCGCGUGUGAAAGCCCCGGGCUCAACCUGGGAACGGCGCGCGAAACGGGGGGGCUGGAGUUCGGGAGAGGAGCGUGGAAUUCCUGGUGUAGCGGUGAAAUGCGCAGAUAUCAGGAGGAACACCUAUUGCGAAGGCAGCUCGCUGGGACGUAACUGACGCUGGAGACGCGAAAGCGUGGGGAGCAAACAGG
rnacentral:rRNA from 1 species